UGAGGUGCGGAAACCACUGCCUGGGGACAGCUCGGCGUCUGUCUUGUUUGGACACAGUCUGAACAGUGGGCCACCUGCGAGGGUGGAAGCGGCUGCUGGGAUUGGCGGAGACUGGGCUGUCUGGUCCCAGAGCAGGUCUUGGCAUGCUAACCACACGCGGUGAAGGUUGUCUCCCGUCUCUCACCACUUGCCGGGAAGCACUGUGCGUAAGAGGCCCGAGAGCCACGAAUCUGGACGAUCCUGAUGACACCGGUGCACCCUGGGACUGCAGCUUCAUCAGUGGUCACAGCAUCCCUCCUAGGGACAGGUCUCUGCACGGCUCCCUCUGCCCUGGCCUUUCCUGCUCCCCUCCACCGCCCCGGGGUGACAGGCUCACCGCGUCCCUCCCUGCUUACCAACAGUCAAGGAUUCGCCGUAGACAGCGUGGCCACUUCAUGUUUGGAUAAGACAGGCCCAGCCACCAGGUCCCUCUCCCCUACUCUGGGGAGGCUCA